rnacentral:rRNA from 1 species
UACGUAGGUGGCGAGCGUUGUCCGGAUUUACUGGGCGUAAAGGGAGCGUAGGCGGAUUUUUAAGUGAGAUGUGAAAUACUCGGGCUCAACUUGAGUGCUGCAUUUCAAACUGGAAGUCUAGAGUGCAGGAGAGGAGAAUGGAGUUCCUAGUGUAGCGGUGAAAUGCGUAGAGAUUAGGAAGAACACCAGUGGCGAAGGCGAUUCUCUGGACUGUAACUGACGCUGAGGCUCGAAAGCGUGGGGAGCAAACAGG